rnacentral:tRNA from 10 species
GCCGCCAUGGUGAAAUCGGUAGACACGCUGCUCUUAGGAAGCAGUGCGAGAGCAUCUCGGUUCGAGUCCGAGUGGCGGCA